UACGUAGGGUGCAAGCGUUGUCCGGAAUCAUUGGGCGUAAAGCGCGCGUAGGUGGCUUCGUAAGUCCGUUGUGAAAGCCAAAGGCUCAACCUUUGAAAGCCGAUGGAUACUGCGGAGCUAGAGUACGGAAGAGGCGAGUGGAAUUCCUGGUGUAGCGGUGGAAUGCGCAGAUAUCAGGAGGAACACCGGUGGCGAAGGCGGGUCUCUGGGCCGAUACUGACGCUGAGGAGCGAAAGCGUGGGGAGCGAACAGG
rnacentral:rRNA from 1 species